GUUCCGAGCCCUUAGGCGCGGGCGCGGGUCAGUGUUGGUAGUCCUUGCUCUUCCAGGUAUCGGAUUCCACGUGGGAGGACUCUGUCCUUCCAGAGAGGAGGAAAUGACCAAAUUCCAGAUUUCUUGGAUUUAUUGUGAGAUAUUUCUCUGCAUACUUGAUGUGAGCAUCAUUAAGGUUAUGGUCAUUUGCUAUCACAAGCCAUCUGCAGUGAGUAAAUCUUGCACAGGUAUCAUUUCACAAGUUUGCCCGGAAAUCUGAAGAAUAAAACCCCCAAGCUGGAAUGCUGAGUGCAUACAUUUAUGAUUUUGAUAGAUAAUUUUGUCAAAAUGUCCUUCUUUGGGGUGAUACCAAUUUACACUAACAAGCAUUGUGUCUUCAAGUUUUGGGUAACAGGUGGAAAAUGGUAUCUCAGUAUAGUUAGAGUUUAUUAUAAUAUACUGCUGUUUUUCAGUUUAUCAAUAUUUUGUAUUCUAUAUUGACUUUCUUACAUCACACAUGAGGAUUUAGCUCCUUUACGUUAUUUCCCCAGCAUGCCCAUCCUCCCAAGAUUUUUUUUUUUCAAUAUUUUAUUAAUUUGUCAGAGAGAGAGAGAGCACAGGCAGGCAGCACCCUCCAAGAUUUUAUGUCAGGGUCACAUCAGUGAUUAAUGCUUACAUUGCUUUGACCUCAUAACUCUUGUUCCUUGCAGGGUCAAGUACUGCACUAUUGAUUAUAGUUCCUUUUUUAUUUUUCCUUUCCUAAAGCUAAUGUUUGCUUUUUAACUUUGGGGUGAUUUCAUCCCAGACUAUUGUAUAACAUUUGAGUUAAUUUGGUUAAUUAUUGUUUUGUAUAGCAACAACUGAUUGAAUUUCAUUGUUUUAUUGACUUCUUUACUCACUGCUAUUUCUUGUAUCAUGUAUCAUUUUUUUCACAAUUACUUUUUCUCCGUAAUUGGAAGAUACUGCUCAGUUAUCCUUAGGUAUCCAGCAUUGCUAGUUGUUAGUUCAGUGUCAAAAGAAUUCUCAUUUAUUUGCACACAACCUGCCUUUUCUGUCUGGAUGCUUUUAGCAUUUUCUGGGAUUUGUUUCUUUCCUUGAAAUCCAGAGGUUUCCCACAUAACUAAAAGCAUUCAGUUAGCCAUGAAUUGUGGAUUCUACGAGAUUUUUAUCUAUUAGUGCUUUGAUCAUUUCUCUCCCUCAUUUUGUCUUCACUGUAUUCAUGGAACUCCUACAAUAUGGGCUUUUACUUUUAUCUUUCCAUCUUUCUGUCCUUUUACUCCACAUUCUAGGAGGAUCUCUCAGUCUUAAAACUUAUUAAACAUGUGUUAAUUUUGCUACUCGACCCAUCUAGAUUGCAGACCUUAAGAGCAGUCUCCCUGACAGUAGUUAUGACAGAAGUCACUUAACUUCUUCAACCUUGGGUUUCCUCAUGGGUAGAAUGGAGGUCCUAUGAGUUCUCUUACAUGAUAAUGCAGCUAGAGCCUGAGUGCUUCACAUGGGCCCGGUAGAUCUUAGUUAUUACAGUUGUUGCUUUUUUAAUCCUUGGGUUAAUUUAAAAGAAUUCUGAUUAUUUUUUAUAGCAAUGUGUUUAUAUUUUAUUAGAUUAUAUUGUUUUUCUAAAUGUGAUAUCCUCUCAGAUUUCUUUGGGAUUUUAAUUAUAUACUGUUUAAAUUCUGUUUCCUCUGUUCAUUAUUUCUUGAAGCCAAUCUUCAUUUAUGUUUGUUUUUUACUUUUUUUUGGUCUGCUUAUAUUAUUUUUAUUAUGUUGAUCUCAUAUUUCUUUUCAAGAGUCUUAUGUUCCGGGGCACCUGGGUGGCUCAGUUGGUUCAGUGUCUGCUUUUGGCUGAGGUCAGGGUCCCAGGAUCCUGAGAUCAGGGCUCUGCUUUGGGCUUCCCACUCCAUGGGGAGCCUGCUUCUCCCUCUGCCCCUCCUCCCUACUUGUGUUUUUUCUCUCUUUCUCUCUCUCUCAAAUAAAUAAAUAAAAUCUUUUUUUAUUGUUGUUAAAGAUUUUAUUUAUUUAUAUGACAGACAGAGAUCACAAGUAGGCAGAGAGGCAGAGAGAGAGAGAGAGAGGAGGAAGCAGGCUCCUUGCUGAGCAGAGAACCCGAUGUGGGGCUCGAUCCCAGGACCACCCCAGGAUCAUGACCUGAGCCGAAGGCAGAAGCUUUAACUCACUGAGCCACCCAGGUGCCCCUAAAUAAAAUCUUUUAAAAAUCUUUUGAAAAAAAAAGUCUUAUAUUCACGGUAUGGUACUGGACUAUACCUCCUCAGCUGAUGCUUGACCCUCUCUGGUGCAUUCAUGCUGUCCUUACAGAGGAGGCAUCUGCUGAUUGGGCUUGAGGUGACUAUAAGAAUCCACACGGAGGGUGAUUCUACAACCACCUAUUUGAUGUUGCCUUUUCAGUCCAAUGAGUUACCUGGGACAUCCUACGCCUCUCAAGCUCUAGCUCUGAGGUAUCUCCC